rnacentral:rRNA from 1 species
CAGUAGCCGCGGUAAUACGAAGGGGGCUAGCGUUACUCGGAAUUACUGGGCGUAAAGGGCGCGUAGGCGGCACGAUUAGUCAGGCGUGAAAUUCCUGGGCUCAACCUGGGGACUGCGCUUGAUACGGUCGAGCUAGAGGAUGGAAGAGGGUUGUGGAAUUCCCAGUGUAGAGGUGAAAUUCGUAGAUAUUGGGAAGAACACCGGUGGCGAAGGCAGCAACCUGGUCCAUUACUGACGCUGAGGCGCGACAGCGUGGGGAGCAAACAGGAUUAGAUACCCCCGUAGUCCCUGUCUCUUAUAU